AUUGAACGCUGGCGGCAGGCCUAACACAUGCAAGUCGAACGAGUGGCGGACGGGUGAGUAAUGUCUGGGAAACUGCCCGAUGGAGGGGGAUAACUACUGGAAACGGUAGCUAAUACCGCAUACCAUCGGAUGAGCCCAGAUGGGAUUAGCUAGUAGGUGGGGUAACGGCUCACCAAGGCGACGAUCCCUAGCUGGUCUGAUAGGAUGACCAGCCACACUGGAACUGAGACACGGCCCAGACUCCUACGGGAGGCAGCAGUGGGGAAUAUUGCACAAUGGGCGCAAGCCUGAUGCAGCCAUGCCGCGUGUAUGAAGAAGGCCUUCGGGUUGUAAAGUACUUUCGGCGAGGAGGCGUUACUCGCAGAAGAAGCACCGGCUAACUCCGUGCCAGCAGCCGCGGUAAUUC
rnacentral:rRNA from 1 species